GACGAACGCUGGCGGCGUGCUUAACACAUGCAAGUCGAACGGAAAGGCCCUGCUUUUGUGGGGUGCUCGAGUGGCGAACGGGUGAGUAACACGUGAGUAACCUGCCCUUGACUUUGGGAUAACUUCAGGAAACUGGGGCUAAUACCGGAUAGGAGCUCCUGCUGCAUGGUGGGGGUUGGAAAGUUUCGGCGGUUGGGGAUGUACUCGCGGCUUAUCAGCUUGUUGGUGGGGUAGUGGCUUACCAAGGCUUUGACGGGUAGCCGGCCUGGGAGGGUGACCGGCGACAAUGGGACUAAGAUACGGCCCAGACUCCUACGUGAGGCAGCAGUGGGAAACAUGGCACAAUGGGCGGGAGCGUGUGGCGACAGCGCCGCGUGCGGGAAGACGGGCUUCGGGUGGUAAACCGAUUUCGACUGUAACAUGGCGUGAGUGACGGUAAUGGGUAAGGAAGCACCGGCUAACUACGUG
rnacentral:rRNA from 1 species